CAGCUUUUUGCCGCACGGGUUCUGGGCUUUUCUACUUUUACGCAAUCCACACCGAAAGCGCCAGGUGCGUAGCAGACGCGCGCGCGCACACACACACACACACACACACACACACACACACACACACACACACACACACACACACAAUCCGCGGCCAGAUGACGUUACCAUUUGUUCGCGGAAGUGGCUUCUGUCGUGACCGCUGAGUGGAGAGAGAGAGGGGGGAGAACCAGGGGGAGGAGAAAGGGAAGGAAGGAAGAGAGAGGGAGAGAGAGAGGUAGAGAGAGAGAAAGUUAAAAAAGAAGUUUUCAGAACUAUAAUUUCCUGUGAAAGUUCAUUCCAAAAAAAAACUGCGAAGGCGCUCGGCCGACCGAAGCCAUCGAGCCGUUUGCCCCCGGUAGGUGACACCAAGCCGAAGGGGUUUGAAGCAGCGACAGCCCGCUGGGCAGGAGGGGCAACUCGAGGGGGGAAAGGGAGGAAGAAAGCUGGGGGCCACAACGAGCCUCUAGCCAUCACUCCCCCCCCAAAGUCCGCGGGGCCCACUGCCAGGGCUCACCAUUAAUACAUUAGACAGAGGGAGUCUAAAACAGGGCAGCCUGGAGAACGGGCGGGCAGACGAGGGAGGGGGCGAGGGGGAGAUCAUCUGGAAGAGGAGAGAGGAAGUGGUGGCGAGGGAAAGGGCGGAGGCGUCGGAGAGGCAGAGACUGGCAGAGCACAUCGUGUGGAGGAAGAGGGAGGGCUUCCAGGAGAAGACGGGAGACCGAGAGAAGGGAGGAAAGGGCGCCGACAAAGUGCCAGAAGUGAUCUGGAAGAGGAGGGAAGACGAGGAGGAGGUGGGAGACGCGGGGAGGGCGAGAGCCAUUCAGAGGGGACACGAAAUCAUUUGGAGGAAGAGAGAGAGGGAGUGAAAGAUUUGAGUGAGCAUGUGUUAAAGAAAGAAAGCGUGCCGCGCUGGGCACAGGCUUCUCUCUUCUGUAGCCUGGGCUCCAUUGGGCUCUGUAGUAUCGACCAAUUGGAGCCGUGCACAGAUUGUGUGUGUGUGCGUGCGCGUGUGUGUGUGUGUGUGUGUUUGCCUGUGCGGCCGCGGUGUUCGUGCGUGCAGCGCCCUUGCGAUCCCCUCGUCGGGCCGCUAAUAGCAUAUUUAUGGGAACGCAUAAAGCGUGAUAGAGCUGCCAAGUGGAGCUGCUUCACACGUGCACGCACCUGCGCACGCCAAUACACACACACACACCCACACACGGCGAUAAUCUCAGUAGCGGUGUGGCGAGGGAAGAUUUAGGCUGCCCUCACACGCGUGUGGACACGUCCCGUAGAGGAGUGCACCCUUCAGUGAAGUGAGACGCAUGCUGG
ensembl:lncRNA